AAUGUAUGACGCCGUUGACUUUUUGAUUAACGUUUGACCAUUCGUCUUAUUCAAAAAAGUUAUGUAAUUAUCAUUUAUUUUAUUGUCACUUGAUUUAUCAUAAAAUAUUCUUUAAGUAUGGCAUAAAUAUUUUUGUAUUUGCAUAAAAAUUUUAAAUAAGACGAAUGGUCAAACGUUGUUUAAAAAGUCAACGGCGUCAUACAUU
rfam:Oryza sativa Japonica Group DNA, chromosome 10, cultivar: Nipponbare, complete sequence.